rnacentral:rRNA from 1 species
UUCCGGUUGAUCCCGCCGGAGGCGACCGCUUUGGGAGUUCGAUUAAGCCAUGCGAGUCGUGAGUCUUAGGGACUCGGCAUACUGCUCAGUAACACGUGGAUAACCUGCCCUAUCGUCUGGAAUAACCUCGGGAAACUGAGAAUAAGGCCGGAUAGUUCACAAUGCCUGGAACGGUUUGUGAGUCAAGGUAGGAUGGGUCUGCGGCGUAUCAGGUUGUAGGGGGUGUAAAGGACCCCCUAGUCUUCGACGCGUACGGGUGUUGGGAGACAUAGCCCGGAGAUGGAUUCUGAGACACGAAUCCAGACCCUACGGGGUGCAGCAGGCGCGAAAACUUCACACUGCAGGAAACUGUGAUGAGGGAACUCCUAGUGCAUGCACUAUGUGUAUGUAGAUCCUACUCUUAACAAGUAGAGGGAAAGGGCUGGGAAAGACCGGUGCCAGCCGCCGCGGUAAUACCGGCAGCUCAAGUGGUCGUCGCUUUUAUUGGGCCUAAAACGUCCGUAGCCUGUUUGGUAAAUCUGUGGGUAAAUCAAUCCGCUCAACGGAUUGAAUUCUGCAGAGACUGCCAGACUAGGGACCGGGAGAGGUGUGGGGUACUCGAGGGGUAGGGGUAAAAUCCUGUCAUCCUUCGAGGACCACCAGUUGCGAAGGCGCCACACUGGAACGGAUCCGACGGUCAGGGACGAAGCCUAGGGGCACGAACCGGAUUAGAUACCCGGGUAGUCCUAGGUGUAAACGCUGUGAACUUGGUGUCGGGGGUCCGCAAGGGGUCCCCGGUGCCGGAGUGAAGAUGUUAAGUUCACUGCCUGGGGAGUACGGUCGCAAGGCUGAAACUUAAAGGAAUUGGCGGGGCAGCAC